rnacentral:rRNA from 1 species
CAGAGGUCUCGAGCGUUAGUCGGAGUCACUGGGCUUAAAGCGUACGUAGGCGGAUAUGCAGGCGUCGUGUGAAAUCCCUCGGCUCAACCGGGGAACUGCACGGCGAACCGCAUGUCUUGAGAUCGGUAGGGGCUGUCGGAACGAUAGGUGGAGUGGUGAAAUGCGUUGAUAUCUAUCGGAACGCCGAAGGUGAAGACAGGCAGCUGGGCCGAUUCUGACGCUGAGGUACGAAAGCGUGGGGAGCGAACGGGAUUAGAUACCCCGGUAGUCCACGCCGUAAACGAUGUGCACUAGAUCGAGGAGGUUCUGACACCAUUCUCGGUCGAAGUAAAAACGUUGAGUGCACCGCCUGGGGAGUACGGUCGCAAGGCUAA